AGGUUAAGCUAUAAAGAGCAUAGGGUGGAUGCCUAGGCACUGAGAGCCGACGAAAGACGUGAUAAGCUGCGAUAAGCUGCGGUAAGGAGCAAAUAUCCAUUGACCCGCAGAUUUCUGAAUGGGGAAACCUACGCAAGAAGACCUUGCGUACUCAUACAUGAAUACAUAGUGUAUGAGAGGGAACCCGGGGAACUGAAACAUCUAAGUACCCGGAGGAAGAGAAAGAAACAUCGAUUUCCUGAGUAGCGGCGAGCGAAAGGGAAAGAGCCCAAACCAGAGGAUUUAUCCUCUGGGGUUAGGACUGCAUAAUUGAUCUGCAAUUGAUAGGAGAACGGUCUGGGAAGUCCGGCGAGAAAGCGUGAAAGCCGCGUAUCCGAAAUCGAAAGCAGCAAGGCAGGAUCCAGAGUACCACGAGACACGAGAAACCUUGUGGGAAUGAGCGGAGACCACUCCGUAAGGCUAAAUACUACUCAGUGACCGAUAGCGCAUAGUACUGUGAAGGAAAGGUGAAAAGGACCCCGGGAGGGGAGUGAAAGAGAACCUGAAACCCUGUGUUUACAAGCUGUCGAAGCACG
rnacentral:rRNA from 1 species